AUGCGCGACAGUUUAGCGGGGAGGCGGCUUCCAGCUCGAGCGGCGGUCUCGCUGGGUCUCUGUCCAGAUUCGUCGCUUUGGUGAUGGCCGGAAUUGCCCACAAAGGAGUUUCCUGAGUUGGCCCAGACAGGGUUGAACUACCUGUCAUGGUCCUCGGACUGCGAGAUCUUUCUCCAGGGCAAAACCCUCCUGAGGGCGAUCGGUAAGGGGGCCCAGCUGGCCGUCACUGAUCCCAAGUUCGAGACUGAGAAUGCGCAGGCUCUGCACUUUCUCCGUCAUCACCUGUCACCUACUCUGAAAGAUGAGUAUAUGGCUGAGCGCAGUGCUUCUGGCCUUUGGACCGCUCUUAAGCAGCGGUUCGAGCGGCUGAAGUACACUGUGAAGCCACGUGCAGAGGCAGAGUGGAUCCGUCUGAGGUUUGCGGACUUCAAGACGGUUGGGGAGUACAAUUCGGCUCUGCACCGGAUUUGUACGACUCUUCGGUUGUGUGGUACUGAAAUUACCGACUCCCAGAAGAUUGAGAAAACCCUAUCCACUUUCCACCCCGACGCGGUCCAGUCCUCACGGAACUACCGCCAGGGGAACUACACGAGGUAUUCAGAGUUGAUUGACGUCCUCCAGGUGGCGGAGGCGCAAGACGAGGUUCUCAAAAAGAACUUUGUCGCGCAACCACUUGGGGGGAGUUCUCGCCAGGAGGUGAACGCUCUCAAAGUCCGCAAGCCUCAACAGAAGAAGAGGGGCCGGAAGGGCAAGAAGAAGGGCCCUCACCCCCCCGCCCCGGCUAAGCAGAACAAGCCGGGCAAGGGAGGGCAAAGGCCUCAGGACUGCUUCUGUUGUGGCUCGGUGGAGCAUUUCUCCCGCCAGUGCCGCGCACCACCGGAGGUCGUUGCUGCAUAUAAGGCUCGGAAGGCGCGUGAGACGCACCUCGCCUUGGUUCAGGAGGGAGCUCCACCGGCGCCCAUGGCGGCACCCGUGAUGAUUGCUACUCCCCCUGCUGCUCCUAUAGAGGCGACCCCCGUGGUGCCCAUCGCGGCAGCUUUGGCGGUCUCUAACGAGGCCCACGUCGCCAUGGAGGUUGACCACAUGGCCGCCUCGGCGGCGCCGCCACUAGACAUUGAUGCUGCCUCCAAGAUAAUUUCUGAGGAGGAUCAGCUCACUAGUAUGGAGAUUGCGGCGGAAGUGAAUGGCUUCUUCACCGAGUCCACUUAG
rnacentral:rRNA from 1 species